AUGCCCUCGGUGCUUCGUCAGGAGGACCUCGACGACAUGGUCGAGGGAGGAGUCAUCCUCCACAAGGCGGCGUGUCUUCCAGGGGGAGAGAUCGAGCCCCAGCCACGCGACGGUGAGCGCGUCCUCCUGGCGACUCAUAUUGACCGUGGUUUCUCUUUGCCGCCCCACUCUUUUUUCCGCAAUUUCCUGAACUUCUUUGGGGCGCAGCUCCAUCACUUCACUCCGAACUCCAUAGUCUAUCUUGCCGCUUUUAUUUCUAUGUGUGAGGCGUUCCUGGGGUGCCGCCCACACUGGGGACUUUUUAAGCAUAUCUUCACCGUUCGCUCUCAGUCGGUGAAAAAGGCUAAGUCGAGUGACGAGAGGACACAGGUGAUCCAGCUGUGCGGGGGCUUGGCGAUCCAGACAAGGGGGAAAAGUUGUUUUCCCUCCAUCACCUUCCCGGAGUCAGUUCGAGGAUGGCAGGCGACUUGGUUCUACUGCCAGGAUCAAGUGACCCCAGGGCAGUCGACUGGACUUCCACCCUUCACCCUCGAUCGAGCCGAGAAGCCGGCUUCUCUGAAGGUGACGCCCGAAGAAAAGGCCCAGGUCAAGAUACUGGCGGGUCGAGUGGUCGAACUUGUCCGUGAGGGCGUAACGGGGAUGGACCUGCUCGAAGUCUUCCUCAGGAGGAGAAUCCAACCACUCCAGGCUCGGGAUCACCCGAUGUGGUUGUACUCCGGCCUCGAGGACUCCACUCGGGUCCACCCAGAGGAGGUCACCGACGAGAUGUUGGAGGGGUGGCUGUCAAGCAUUACAGGGAACAAAGACAACCCCCGGGGAGCUAGGAGGGUCGUUCCACUCGACAGCUCAUAUGAGGUCGACCAGGCGACUACUGAGAUGUAUUCGACGCCCAACGGGGCACAGGGGUCGACUGAGGAAGGGGAAGGGAGCGGAGGUGAGAGCGGGGACGACCAGGGCGAGUGGGAGUCUGACGGCGAGGGAGAGGGAGGCGAUGACAUCUUCUCCAGCGAGGAGGAGGAGGAGGAGGAGGAGGCCGAACCCUCCCGCCCUGAAAGGCGAUCUAAGCUCGCACACGACCCGGCGCAGGGACGUGGUCAGGCGACUGCCCCCUCCGGGCCAUCGUUGAAACGCCCUCGGACCUCUUCACCAACACCGACUAGGAAGGUUCCCAAGCAACCACGCACGACGCAGUCUAAGCCGCCCAAGACCCUGCCGAAGAUGAAGAUAACUGUCCCUGUCAUCUCCAGUGCUGCUACCUCCGAGGUCUCGGCCAAGGACGACGACCAAGAGAUGGGGGACGCUGCAACCUCCAACCCUGCUCCUCAUGUUAUCGACCUCCCGGAUGACGAUGACAACGAGCCGCUGAGGAUAGGGAGGACCAAGAGGCCGUCGACUGACAGGGCUCCCCAGCCUGCUCCGGUGCCUGAGGCCGCGGCUCGGGAAGGCGGCGAUGCCCCUCGGGCUUCUGUGUCCUUCGCCAAUCCCCUGUCGAGUGCGCAGCCCUCGGCAUCGACUGUCAAUCCGACUGCUAAUCCUCUGUCGAGUGCGCAGCCCUCGGCGUCGACUGCCAACCUGACUUCACUCUUUGUCGCGUACCCUGCUCCUGAAGACGAAGUGGCCGCCGCGAAGGAGGCCAUACACCAAGCAGGGGUCAUGAUGGAGCAGGUGAAGAAGGCCCGGGAGGCCAGCCAGGCGGCUUACGAUGCGAGUUCGGUGCUUCAGAGUAACGUUCAGAGAUCCUGCGAACUUGUCGCUCGUUAUGCUGAAUUGGAGAAGCAGAAGAUUCAACUGGACCUUGAUCUAGAGCUGGCCAGGACGGAGUUGUAG
rnacentral:rRNA from 1 species